rnacentral:lncRNA from 1 species
UACUGAAAAUAUGUAUACAUAUAAGUGUAUGUGUAUAAAUAGAUAUUCUCAUUUCCCUUUAGAAUGUUUUUUUGUUUGUUUGUUUGUUUUUUGGUGGUGGUGUGUGUUGCAUAUGAAAACAUAGCAAUAUAUUGUGGCACCAGUGACAUGCUUGGAUGCCAUGCGAUAUAGCUUCAUUAGCAGUCUGAUCCAGUGUGCUUCCCAAAGUUGCUUUCCUGCUUGCUAAUGCCCCAGUGGAUCAAUCAAAGCAGUGGCAGCUCAGGGAGUCAGGGCCUAUAAAUGUGAUCCUUGCUUAGAAAAAGCUUUCAUUGACCUUAAUAAAACAACUGAAGCAUCAAUAUUAUUAAUUAAUAUUUAGACUGUAAGACUUGACACUCUGCAAAGGCAAGGAUCUGAUAUUUUUUUUUGUGGUGGUUGUUUUUUUCAGGGUUACUCUUCUUUUCCCACAACUCAGAACUAGUAACUAAACCACAAUUAUUUACCUGAUGCUAUCGUUCAGGUGUUAUGUCUGUGAGCCGUACUUAGUUUUCAAACUAAACUUGCCUCCUCCAUUCUCAUUGCCCAAAACCUCUCUUGGCAGAGAGCACCACAGACAGGGUACUGCUUUGACUUGUCUCAAAGGUUCCCUGAACCUUAAUUCCCCUUGUCUGGAAGCUAUGAGGCCCCACAAACUAAAACAGAGGGCAAUCGUGCAGCAGCCAGGUGUAGAUUAUACACUUACAGGCCACAGCUGCUUGCUUCUGCCAAAAGUAAGUGGCAAGUUUCCAGCAGGAGAUAUUGGUAAAAACUCUCUACAAAGGGCAUGCUGUAGAGAGAGGAAUAUUAACAGGGACGAGGUAGAUUUGAACAGCAUUGUGGAAGAAGUCAAGGAGAAACCGUAUGCUGUGAACGCAUUGUUUGUAAUGAAACCCAUGGAAGACGUGUGUGUAUGCAUAUGUGUAUGCACGUAUAUAUACGCAUAUGAGAUUUGAAGUCUUGAAGACACAUUUAUGAAGAAUAUUAUGUGUUAUACCAGUGAGUCAUGUGAAGCGUGUAAUCACAACAGGAUGUUAAUACAGACAUUUUUUGUUGUUG